AAAACUGAAUAAAACUUUUGAUAACUUCCAAGUUUUGACAUUUUGUACUGGGGCUAAUGUGGUAGACUUGAG